rnacentral:rRNA from 1 species
UACGGGGGGGGCAAGCGUUGUUCGGAAUUACUGGGCGUAAAGGGCGCGUAGGCGGCCUACUAAGUCGGACGUGAAAUCCCUCGGCUCAACCGGGGAACUGCGUCCGAUACUGGUGGGCUCGAAUCCGGGAGAGGGAUGUGGAAUUCCAGGUGUAGCGGUGAAAUGCGUAGAGAUCGGGAGGAACACCUGUGGCGAAGGCGGCCGACUGGGCCGACCCUGACGCUGAGGCGCGAAGGCGUGGGGAGCGAACGGG